AGCGGGGUAGAGCAGUUGGCAGCUCGUCAGGCCCAUAACCUGAAGGUCGUCGGUUCGAAUCCGACCCCCGCAACAA
rnacentral:tRNA from 1 species